rnacentral:rRNA from 1 species
UUUUUCAUUAGCGGAGGAAAAGAAAAUAACAAUGAUUUCCCUAGUAACGGCGAGUGAAGAGGAAAGAGCUCAAAGUUGGAACCUGUUUGGCUUAGCUAAACCGGAUUGUAAACUGUAGAAGUGUUUUCCAGGCACGCCAGGUAAAAAAGUCCUUUGGAACAGGGCAUCAUAGAGGGUGAGAAUCCCGUCUUUGGCCUGAGCUGUUGCCUUUUGUGAUACAUUUUCAAAGAGUCAGGUUGUUUGGGAAUGCAGCCUAAAUUGGGUGGUAAAUCUCACCUAAAGCUAAAUAUUUGCGAGAGACCGAUAGCGAACAAGUACCGUGAGGGAAAGAUGAAAAGAACUUUGAAAAGAGAGUUAAACAGUAUGUGAAAUUGUUAAAAGGGAACCGUUUGGAGCCAGACUGGCUUGACUGUAAUCAAUCUAGGCUUCGGCCUGGAUGCACUUGCGGUCUAUGCCUGCCAACGACAGUUUUAUUUGGGGGAAAAAAUUAUUAGGAAUGUGGCCCUUCGGGGUGUUAUAGCCUUUUAAAAAAUACCCUGGAUUGGACUGAGGAACGCAGUGAAUGCCUUUAGGCAAGAUUGCUGGGUGCUUUCGCUAAUAAAUGCUAGAAUUUCUGCUUCGGGUGGUGCUAGUGUUUAAAGGCGGAACUCGCUUGGUAUAUUUUAUCGCUUAUGGGCAGUCUAGCACGGAACCGGUCA